AUGAUGGCGUCAAAAACUGUUCUAAAGGCUUCCACAACACAACAGAAAUCAUCUGGUGUUCAAAGAGUGGAAGCAAACACCCUUAGGCCUUUGCCUUCACAUGUUUCAAAAACAAGCAAAUCAGAGUUGAUCAAUAAUGAGCAGGUGCCAAGGGCAGUAGAAAACACACCGAAAGAAGUUAUGAUAGAAGCUUUUGAAAAUAAAAAGCUACCAAAUUCUGAUAACAAAGGGACCGCUGAUUCAUUGAGUAAUAAAUUGGAAACAAGUCUUUCUUUACCUACUCUUGAGCAAGAAUCUACUGAAGCAGAUUCUUCCAUUAAUGAUACA
rnacentral:misc_RNA from 1 species